rnacentral:sRNA from 1 species
CUGCUGCAGAUGCUGUUUGAGGAAGCUCUGCCCCUCAGCUGCUCUGAUCCUGUGCUUAGCACUCUUAGCCUGGUGCAGUUCAGCCCCAGUGGAAGGACCCAGGACCUGCUCUCUCCAGGGGUGGAGAACCUGUCGGUGCUGGACGUGGCCCCUCUGGGCUUGGUGGUAGAAGAUGCCACUGAAGUGGAGGUGUCUGACUCAAAAGCUGCCUCAGAACUGUACUUGCAGGCCACCGCAGGGUCUGCUGUCUGCUCACUCUCACAGUGUCCUGCCCAGGGCCUGACCCUCCUGAGGGGCCCGGGACCCAGCGUGUGUGGCAAGGGGCUCUACGGAUCCUCCAGCUCCCAGGAGCCCCGAAGAAGAAAGAAACAAACAAAAAAAGAAACAAAAAGAAUAAAGAAGAAUAUGAAAAAGAAAACAAAGGAAGAAAGGAAGGAAAAAAGAAAAAGAAAGAAUUUUCUAGGUCUUUG